rnacentral:rRNA from 1 species
AGCGUUUGACAUCCUAAGAAGAAGAUAGAGAUAUCUUUGUGUUCCUUCGGGAAAACUUAGAGACAGGUGGUGCAUGGCU